rnacentral:rRNA from 1 species
GAUGAACGCUGGCGGCGUGCUUAACACAUGCAAGUCGAACGGAAAGGCUCCUGCUUUCCGGGUUACUCGAUUGGCGAACGGGGGAGUAACACGUGGGUGAUCUGCCCUUCACUUCCUGAUAAGCCUUGGAAACUGGGUCUAAUACCCGAGAGGACGAUUGUUUGGAUGCCAUUGUGUAAAGGUUGUUCGGUGUGGGCUGAGCUCGCGGCCUAUCAGCUUGUUGGUGGGUUAAUGGCCUACCAAGGCGUCGACGGGUAGCCGGCCUGAGAGGGUGUACGGCCACAUUGGGACUGAGAUACGGCGCAGAAUCCUACGGGCGGCAGCAGUGGGGAAUAUUGCACAAUGGGCGCAAGCCUGAUGCAGAGACGCCGCGUGGGGGAUGACGGCCUUCGGGUUGUAAACUCCUUUCGCUAGGGACGAAGCGCAAGUGACGGUACCUGGAGAAGAAGCACCGGCUAACUACGUG